AUUGAACGCUGGCGGCAUGCUUUACACAUGCAAGUCGAACGGCAGCGCGGGCUUCGGCCUGGCGGCGAGUGGCGAACGGGUGAGUAAUACAUCGGAACGUGCCCAGUAGUGGGGGAUAGCUCGGCGAAAGCCGGAUUAAUACCGCAUACGACCUGAGGGUGAAUGCGGGGAAUCUUCGGACCUCGCGCUAUUGGAGCGGCCGAUGGCAGAUUAGCUAGUUGGUGGGGUAAAGGCCUACCAAGGCGACGAUCUGUAGCUGGUCUGAGAGGACGACCAGCCACACUGGGACUGAGACACGGCCCAGACUCCUACGGGAGGCAGCAGUGGGGAAUUUUGGACAAUGGGCGAAAGCCUGAUCCAGCAAUGCCGCGUGUGUGAUGAAGGCCUUCGGGUUGUAAAGCACUUUUGGCGGGAACGAAAAGGACUGUGCCAAUACCACGGUUCGAUGACGGUACCCGCAGAAUAAGCACCGGCUAACUACGUG
rnacentral:rRNA from 1 species